rnacentral:rRNA from 1 species
UACAGAGGUCCCAAGCGUUGUUCGGAUUCACUGGGCGUAAAGCGUGCGCAGGCGGUUUUGUAAGUUUGUCGUGAAAGCCCCGGGCUCAACCUGGGAAUUGCGAUGAAGACUGCAAGGCUUGAAUCUGGCAGAGGGGGGGUAGAAUUCCACGUGUAGCAGUGAAAUGCGUAGAGAUGUGGAGGAACACCGGUGGUGUAAACGGCUUUCUGGACCAUAACUGACGCUGAGGCACGAAAAGCGUGGGUAGCAAACAGG